GACGCAACGCGAAGAACUUACCAGGGCUUGACAUCUCCUGACCGCGUAUGAAAGUACGUUUUCACCUUCGGGAGACAGGGAGACAGGUGGUGCAUGGUUGUCGUCAGCUCGUGUCGUGAGAUGUUGGUUAAGUCCCGCAACGAGCGCAACCCCUACGUUUAGUUGCUAACGCGUGAAGGCGAGCACUCUAGACGAACUGCCGUUGACAAACGGAGGAAAGGUGGGGAUGACGUCAAAUCAUCAUGCCCCUUAUGUUCUGGGCUACACACGUGCUACAAUGGCCGGUACAACGAGAAGCGAAACCGCGAGGUGAAGCAAAUCUUUUAAAGCCGGUCCCAGUUCGGAUUGCAGGCUGAAACUCGCCUGCAUGAAGUUGGAGUUGCUAGUAAUCGCGGAUCAGCAUGCCGUGGUGAAUGCGUUCCCGGGUCUU
rnacentral:rRNA from 1 species